CUGAAAACACUGUAGCAAAUAAAUAGGAAAACGCGUGUGAUAAAUUUGGCUGAAAGUACUGUAGCGCUGCUGAAAUUACUGUAGCAUAUAAAUACCAAAAUUUUACUCUGAUUUUCUUUUCCACUCCUCACCGUACCCUAGCUAAGCCUCUGCUGCGAAGAGUUCCACGCCCAUCCGAGAUUGAUGAAGGAAGACCUACAUCGGUCCGACGCCGGCGAAGAGCCCAGGUGAGAAAUCCAUCUAUCGGAAGACAACACCAAUCCGACGCCGGCGUCUUCUCUUCCUUCUAGAAACCCAUUUCACCCUUUUCCCUCCGUCCCUCGAGCUCCGACCCAUGACACAUCUCUUCCCAUAAAUAUAUGGGAAUGCAAAUUGUUCGAUUAGCAAGAUUUUUGGUUUUAUCUGCAAAUGGAUGUCAUAUUACCCAAUACUGAAGGUAAUUUUUUCCCCUUUCCAAUCGAUUUUUAAAAUUCCAUAAAUGUUGCUCGGUUUUUUUUUUUUUUUUUUAAUUUUUAUUUUUUCCCAGUGAUAAUAUCCAUUGGUUUUGUCUUUUGCAGUGCCCAUAAUUUAAUUGUUUCAGUUAACCAUUGAAAGUGUUCAGAAGGCUGGCAAUGGUUGCUCAGAAAAUCCCCCGAGAAAAAAAAGACCACACUCACACCAAGCCAAGGUUUGAUCAAAGAAACACAGAGAGAGAAAGAGAAUAGGUUUUUCAAAUUCUUCAAAGUCCAAGUACUUCUCUGCAAAGCUAAAAUGGUGAAAAGUUGAGAGCUUUGAAGUUUGAUGAGUCGAUGCAUGAGAGUGAUUAGCUUCUACCUAGCGAUUGAAGAAGAGAUCAUCUUACUUUUCGAGAUGAUGUAUAUUUCCUAUGUUUGUGUCUUUGCUUCAGCCUUCUCCGGGUUUCGAAGAAAGUUGUUUGAUUUGAAUGUUGAUGACAAAUAUUUGUGGGCACAAGCUUUGACCGGUUUGCAAACUAGCAUUAAUAGUGAAAUUAGAAAUUUAUAUUCAACUGGAAGAUUUACAGUUUUGAAAGAGCUCGAAGCAUUUAAUACAAGUGUAAAGAAAUUGUAUCCCAUGAUCCAAGAUGGUGUGGACUUUCAGAGGGACUAGAUCUUCGUACAAACCAAUAUGAUGGCUUUUUUCAUGUAGUUUUAAUUGGGUGUGAUGCUUUGCUCUAUAAUGUUAGAGAGAGUAGUAGUGUCUCUGACCCAAAGCUAGGUUGCAAAGUAGUAGAAAGAGUACAAUCUUAAUUAUUGGGGAUAGCUAAAAUUUGUUUAGGGCUUGAUGUAGAUUCUUUUGUAUUUGAUAUUAUUCUAUUGAUUCUUUUCUAUU